rnacentral:rRNA from 1 species
ACAACUUUCAGCAACGGAUCUCUUGGCUCUCGCAUCGAUGAAGAACGCAGCGAAAUGCGAUAAGUAAUGUGAAUUGCAGAAUUCAGUGAAUCAUCGAAUCUUUGAACGCACCUUGCGCUCCUUGGUAUUCCGAGGAGCAUGCCUGUUUGAGUGUCAUGGUAUCAUCAACCUUCAACAC